AGUGAACGCUGGCGGCAGGCCUAACACAUGCAAGUCGAGCGGCAGCGGGUUCCCGCGAGGGGAUGCCGGCGAGCGGCGGACGGGUGAGGAACACAUCGGAAUCUGCCUGGUUGUGGGGGAUAACGUAGGGAAACUUACGCUAAUACCGCAUGAGACCCUGAGUCGACGGACUGGGGGUGAAAGUGAGGGACCUUCGGGCCUCACGCGACCAGAUGAGCCGAUGUCGGAUUAGCUAGUUGGCGGGGUAACGGCCCGCCAAGGCGACGAUCCGUAGCUGGUCUGAGAGGAUGAUCAGCCACACUGGGACUGAGACACGGCCCAGACUCCUACGGGAGGCAGCAGUGGGGAAUCUUGGACAAUGGCGCAAGCCUGAUCCAGCCAUGCCGCGU
rnacentral:rRNA from 1 species